rnacentral:rRNA from 1 species
GAUGAACGCUAGCUACAGGCUUAACACAUGCAAGUCGAGGGGCAGCAUGAGACGGAGAUUCGUCGAAGUCUUGAUGGCGACCGGCGCAAGGGUGCGUAACGCGUGAGCAACUUGCCCGUUUCAGGGGGAUAACCGGUGGAAACGCCGACUAAUACCCCAUAGCAUCAGUUUGAGGCAUCUCUUACUGAUUAAAGAGUUUCGGAAACGGAUAGGCUCGCGUGACAUUAGCUAGAUGGCGGGGUAACGGCCCACCAUGGCGACGAUGUCUAGGGGUUCUGAGAGGAAGGUCCCCCACACUGGAACUGAGACACGGUCCAGACUCCUACGGGAGGCAGCAGUGAGGAAUAUUGGUC